UACGUAGGGUGCAGGCGUUAAUCGGAAUUACUGGGCGUAAAGCGUGCGCAGGCGGUUUGUUAAGACAGAUGUGAAAUCCCCGGGCUUAACCUGGGAACUGCGUUUGUAACUGGCAAGCUAGAGUGUGGCAGAGGGGGGUGGAAUUCCUGGUGUAGCGGUGAAAUGCGUAGAUAUGCGGAGGAACACCGAUGGCGAAGGCAAUCCCCUGGGCCUGCACUGACGCUCAUGCACGAAAGCGUGGGGAGCAAACAGG
rnacentral:rRNA from 1 species